rnacentral:rRNA from 1 species
GAUGAACGCUAGCGGCAGGCUUAACACAUGCAAGUCGAGGGGUAUAGUUCUUCGGAACUAGAGACCGGCGCACGGGUGCGUAACGCGUAUGCAAUCUACCUUUUGCAGAGGGAUAGCCCAGAGAAAUUUGGAUUAAUACCUCAUAGUAUGUGAGAAUGGCAUCAUUUUCACAUUAAAGUCACAACGGCAAAAGAUGAGCAUGCGUCCCAUUAGCUUGUUGGUAAGGUAACGGCUUACCAAGGCAACGAUGGGUAGGGGUCCUGAGAGGGAGAUCCCCCACACUGGUACUGAGACACGGACCAGACUCCUACGGGAGGCAGCAGUGAGGAAUAUUGGACAAUGGGCGCAAGCCUGAUCCAGCCAUGCCGCGUGCAGGAUGACGGUCCUAUGGAUUGUAAACUGCUUUUGUACAGGAAGAAACACUGGUUCGUGAACCAGCUUGACGGUACUGUAAGAAUAAGGAUCGGCUAACUCCGUGCCAG